UUAACGAUUUAUAUUUAUACUCAGACAACAUAAUUAUAAAAGAAUUUAAUAAGGCUACUGGCAAGCACUGACCAAGAGCAUAUAAGCCCCCGGCGGCCCCGAAAGGCGGGCCUACCAAAGCAACAUGGUAUAUUAAACAAAGGAUUGGAGGUCGGGCCUAUAAGACCCUAACUCGGUAAUGAUCCUUCCGCAGGUUCACCUACGGAAA
rnacentral:misc_RNA from 1 species